UACGUAGGGUGCGAGCGUUAAUCGGAAUUACUGGGCGUAAAGCGUGCGCAGGCGGUUAUGUAAGACAGGUGUGAAAUCCCCGGGCUCAACCUGGGAACUGCGCUUGUGACUGCAUAACUUGAGUGUGGCAGAGGGGGGUGGAAUUCCACGUGUAGCAGUGAAAUGCGUAGAGAUGUGGAGGAACACCGAUGGCGAAGGCA
rnacentral:rRNA from 1 species